ACUACUUCUCAUCAGCUAUGCUCUAUUUCCUCUGAUCUGCAACAAUGGCAUUAUCGUUUAGGACAUCCUCCCAUUGGAACAUUAUCUCUUUUAUUACCGCAAUUAGUUAAACAAUGUAAUAUGGAUGAUUUUUUUUGUGAAGCCUAUAUUCUGGUUAAACAAACUCGUUCUAGUUAUUUUCCAUUAAAUAAAAGAAGUCUUGCACUUUGUCAUUUGGUUCACUCUGAUGUGUGGUGUCCGUCUUGUUGGACAUCUAUCUUUGCUAAACGUUGGUUUGUCUUUUAUUGAUUGUCUCUCUCGCACAACAUGGGUGUAUAUAGUGCAACACAAAAGUGCAGUGUUUAAUUGUUUUCCACGCUUCCACAAGAUGAUUCAGACAUAGGUCAAUGCUACUUUGAAAAUUCUUCGUAGUGAUAAUGGUACUAAAUAUAUGGAGGGUCAAUUCCAGUGGUACCUUACUGAACAUGAGAUCCUUCAUUAGACUAACUACAUUGGCACUCCUGCUCAGAAUGGGGUGGCUGAACGCAAGAAUAGACACUUACUAGAUGUUGCCCGCGCAAUGAUGUUUGCCAGACAUGUUCCCUCUCAGUAUUGGAGCAAUGCUAUCAUGAAUGCUGCCUACUUGAUCAAUGCCUGCUCGGGUUCUUGAUUCUCAUACUCCUGUUGCCAUUCUUCAUGGGGAUAACUCCUUUCUGGUUCCUCCGAAGACUUUUGGGUGUGCUUGCUAUGCUAGAGAUCGCCACUCACUAGGAAAAUUGGAACCUCAUAGCAUCAAGUGUAUCUUUCUGGGUUAUUCUUCUUCUCAGAAAGGAUACAGGUGUUACUAUCCUUCUGCUAGGCAUAUCAUAGUCACCAUGGAUGUUGUGUUUCACGAAUCUGUUGGCUAUUAUUCCUCGCCAUCUCUUUGAGGGGAGUCCGAUAGUGAUAGUGAAGAGCCGACUCUGAAUCUGCUUGCUCCACCUCCAAUGUAUCUGCCAUCUCUGACAGAGAGUGAUUUCCAGCUCAAGGGGAGAUUGAGACCACUGUUUUUGCCUAGGGGGAGUGGACUCCCAUUCAACGUACUAUUAGUGAAUUUCAAAGACAAUUGAUGAUUCAACUCUUCAAGUCUAUUGUAGGGGUCACACCAGAAAUAAGCAAGACUUGUAGCUAAAGGGUUCACUCAGAAAUAUGAAAUUGACUACCAGGAGACAUUUGCACCAGUUGCCAAAUUGACCUUUGUGCGAGUGUUGCUCUCAUGUGCUGUGAACUUAGGAUGGGAUCUCUAACAACUUGAUAUCAAGAAUGCUUUCCUCUAUAGAGAGCUUAAUGAGGAAGUAUAUAUGGAUAUUCCACUAGGUUUCUCCAGUAAGGGAAUUUAGGGCAAGGUCUAUAAGUUAAACCAUGCUCUCUAUGGUUUGAAGCAGUCACCUAGAGCGUGGUUCGGGAGAUUUCACAAGACGAUGGCAUCUAUGGGGUAUAAGUAGAGCAAAGCUGGCUACACAUUAUUCAUAAAAUGGUCUGGUGAUAAAAUUACUAUUCUCAUUGUUUAUGUGGAUGACAUUGUGGUGCCAGAGAAUGGAAGUGUUAAGAUUGGUUGCCUCAAGGACUUUCUUGCUCGAGGGUUUAAAAUAAAGGAUAUUGGAAAACUAAGGUACUUUUUUGGGAUUGAAGUUGCUCGAUCUUCUAAAAGCAUCUUUCUAUCUCAGAGGAAGUAAAUCGUUGAUCUAUUGUCAGAGAUUGGUUUGUUGGGUUGUUGUCCUUCUAAUACACCUAUGGAAGCUAGUACAUGACUCAAGGGAAAGGAGGUUGAAUCCAUUGAUAUAGGGCGUUACCAAUGGUUGGUAGGCAAAUUGAUAUAUCUCGCUUAUACUUGUCCUAAUAUUCUGUGGUUUUCAGGUCAGUCAGUUUAUGCAUGAUCCCUACUCCUUUAUGGAAGUAGUCCUAUGUAUCCUAAGAUACUUGAAAUCUGCUUCAGGAAAAAGGUUAUUAUACCUUUGUGGGUGGGAAUCUUGUCACUUGGCACUGCAAGAAGUAGAAUGUGGUGGCUAGAUCUUGUGCUGAAGCAGAGUUUUGUGCUAUAGUACAAGGGAUUUGUGAGUUUUUGUGGUCAUGCACUCUCUUAGAUGAUAUUGGUGUGCCUGUUCGUCUUCUUAUGAUGCUCUACUGUGAUAACAAGGCUGCUAUUAGUAUUGCUCAUAAUCCAGUACAUCAUAAUUGUACCAAACAUGUGGAGAUUGACAGACAAUUCAUCAAAGAGAAGGUGGAUGCUGGCUUGAUUUGUGUUCCCUUUGUGAAUUUUGAAGAUUAGUUAGCUGAUGUAUUCACUAAGGGUUUAGUUGGGAAGAUGUUUUAGACUUGUUUAGUUAAGUUGGGCAUGUGUAAUAUCUACGCGCCAACUUGAGGGGAGUGUUAGAAUAUAUGUUAAAUGUGCCGUAGGGGCACAUUAGGGCUUUCACUUCUCCAUUGAGUCAUUGACCCUUUUUAGUGUGGGGUGACUGGAUGGGGGGCAUAAUUGUAAUUUCUAUUAUUUUUUGCUUAUUAUAAAUAAAGGGUUUGUGUGAUCAGUUAGAUCAUUCAAGCAUUCUCCCCAUUAAUGCUGCUAACAGUUUAUUGAUUGGACUUCAGAUCAGGGAGAUCUGAUGUUUGACCCUUUGAUCAGAUCAGGGAGAUUUGAUGUUUGACCUUUCUCCAAGAAACCAAAUUUCUGCUGUAUUGAUUAGGAAAAUCUGGACUGUGUUCAAUUCAAACUGCUACUGGUUUUUAAUGGCUUGAAUAGGCUUGAUUCGAUCACGUAAUCACUCAA